UUGGGAAUAUUGGACAAUGGGCGCAAGCCUGAUCCAGCAAUCCCGCGUGAGUGAUGAAGGCCUUCGGGUCGUAAAGCUCUUUUAGCAGGGACGAAGGGAAACUUGACGGUACCUGCAGAAAAAGCACCGGCUAACUCCGUGCCAGCAGCCGCGGUAAUACGGAGGGUGCAAGCGUUGUUCGGAAUUAUUGGGCGUAAAGCGCGUGUAGGCGGUCGCUUAAGUCUAGUGUGAAAGCCCGGGGCUUAACCCCGGAAGUGCACUGGAUACUGUGCGACUAGAGGGCGAGAGAGGAUAGUGGAAUUCCUGGUGUAGGGGUGAAAUCCGUAGAUAUCAGGAGGAACAUCUGUGGCGAAGGCGGCUAUCUGGCUCGUUUCUGACGCUGAGACGCGAAAGCGUGGGGAGCAAACAGG
rnacentral:rRNA from 1 species